rnacentral:tRNA from 1 species
GGCUCCAUAGCUCAGAAGUUAGAAAACUGGUCUUGUAAACCAGUUGUCGUGAGUUCAAUUCCUGCUGGGACCA